GGCCACAGUCCUGGGCUACCUGUGGUUCAAUGUCUGAUAUAAAGUCUUACUUUUCAGGUCUGGACACAGUUUUCACCUUCAGACAGGCCUUCUCAGAUCCCUUCACCCACCCACCCCAGAUACAGCAGCCCCCACCUCAGUACAGACGCUGUGACCCACAGGACCCAAGUUCAUCUUCCUCACGGCACUGACCAGCGACUGUCAUCAUGUGGCUGCACCAUUGGUGUGCGUGCUGACUGCCUCCUCUAGAAUCUUCAACCUGCCCUCCAUAUUUUGCUCUGCCAGACAAUGGAGUAUCAUUCAGCCAUAAAAAGGGAUGAAGGAUCCCAGGCAUGUUGCAUGCCACAUGGAAGAAGCCAGCCAUCAUUUUCUUAAUGUAUGGGAACUAUACCUCAGGAAACAAACUGUCUUCGUUUCUGCGAUCCUUCUGGAGAAGAUAAGAACCUUGUGUCUUGGCUCGGAGUCUUCGUGAAAGCAAAGCUUGUGAUCGGACCCGUGUGUUGGAAGGUUGAUCUGGGAGGUCACGGCAAGAAGCUGGAGGGAGGGGCCAGGAGAGUGACAGAUACAGAAAAAGACACUGUGAGUGUAUCCUGAGGUCUCUGCUGGGGGCAGUUUGGGCUCAGUUCCAGUGGGGACCUUCUAGGGAGCCUAUAGAAGGCUUCUCAAAAUUGUCCAUGGGAAGAGCUAGUGGGAGAGGCACUCAUCCAUCAGCUCCCCAUUCCCCCCAUUGAGGGCUGCCUCUGCAGGAGUUAACUCCAGAAACCCCGGGACAGAAAGUGAAACCCACUUCGAGGUGAGAGCCUGGCAUCUGGAGCCCCCCCGGGAAGAGCUGGCUGCAGCUGUGGCUGAACUCGGAGGAGAGGCCAAGAGGAUGUGAGUGAGGGCACAGCAGCAUCUGUACAGGCUACUCUUGCCGGCCCGCCCCUGCCCGCAUGCUCUCCCAUGCCCUUUCCCACAUUCUUGUGACCCAAAAUUGUAGGACCAGGCACUAAACAUGAUCACA